rnacentral:rRNA from 1 species
AGAGGGGGCAAGCGUUGCUCGGAAUCACUGGGCGUAAAGGGCGCGUAGGCGGGAAGUCAAGUCGGUCGUGAAAUCUCCGGGCUCAACCCGGAGGAGUCGGCCGAAACUGGUUUUCUUGAGGGAGGCAGAGGAGUCUGGAAUUCCCGGUGUAGCGGUGAAAUGUGUAGAGAUCGGGAGGAACACCGGUGGCGAAGGCGGGACUCUGGGCCUACCCUGACGCUGAGGCGCGAAGGCGUGGGGAGCAAACGGGAUUAGAUACCCCGGUAGUCCACGCGGUAAACGAUGACGACUAGGUGUGGGGGGGUUCAGUCCCUUCCGUGCCGCAGCUAACGCAUUAAGUCGUCCCCUGGGGAGUACGGCCGCAAGGUUG